CCUACGGGCGGCAGCAGUGGGGAAUAUUGCACAAUGGGCGCAAGCCUGAUGCAGCCAUGCCGCGUGUGUGAAGAAGGCCUUCGGGUUGUAAAGCACUUUCAGCGGGGAGGAAGGCGUUAAGGUUAAUAACCUUGUCGAUUGACGUUACCCGCAGAAGAAGCACCGGCUAACUCCGUGCCAGCAGCCGCGGUAAUACGGAGGGUGCAAGCGUUAAUCGGAAUUACUGGGCGUAAAGCGCACGCAGGCGGUCUGUCAAGUCGGAUGUGAAAUCCCCGGGCUCAACCUGGGAACUGCAUUCGAAACUGGCAGGCUAGAGUCUUGUAGAGGGGGGUAGAAUUCCAGGCGUAGCGGUGAAAUGCGUAGAGAUCUGGAGGAAUACCGGUGGCGAAGGCGGCCCCCUGGACAAAGACUGACGCUCAGGUGCGAAAGCGUGGGGAGCAAACAGGAUUAGAUACCCUUGUAGUC
rnacentral:rRNA from 1 species